UACGAAGGGGGCUAGCGUUGUUCGGAAUCACUGGGCGUAAAGGGCGCGUAGGCGGCCAUAUAAGUCGGGGGUGAAAGCCUGUGGCUCAACCACAGAAUUGCCUUCGAUACUGUAUGGCUCGAGACCGGAAGAGGUAAGUGGAACUGCGAGUGUAGAGGUGAAAUUCGUAGAUAUUCGCAAGAACACCAGUGGCGAAGGCGGCUCACUGGCCCGGUACUGACGCUGAGGUGCGAAAGCGUGGGGAGCAAACAGG
rnacentral:rRNA from 1 species